GAUGAACGCUGGCGGCGUGCCUAAUACAUGCAAGUCGAGCGAACAGACGAGGAGCUUGCUCCUCUGACGUUAGCGGCGGACGGGUGAGUAACACGUGGAUAACCUACCUAUAAGACUGGGAUAACUUCGGGAAACCGGAGCUAAUACCGGAUAAUAUAUUGAACCGCAUGGUUCAAUAGUGAAAGACGGUUUUGCUGUCACUUAUAGAUGUAUCCGGUCCGCAUUAGCUAGUUGGUAAGGUAACGGCUUACCAGGGCGACGAUGCGUAGCCGACUUGGGAGGUGGAUCGCCAACAUGGGAACUGGACCAGGGUCAAACCCCCACGGGAGGGAGCAAGAGGGAAAUCUCGGGAAAUGGGGGAAGGCCGGACGGGGCAAGGCCGGGUGGGUGAGGAGGGUCUCGGAUUCGUAAAACUCGGUGAUUGGGGAGAAAGAAAUGGGGAAGGGACAGUGCACGUCGUGACGGUACCUAAUCAGAAAGCCACGGCUAACUACGUG
rnacentral:rRNA from 1 species